AUACAAUGUCAAAAAACUAUUAAACCUAAAAAGCUCAAGCUUUUAGGUGUGAGUCGCAACACAAGAAUUAUUUUAUAUCUCUUGUAGUUGCUGUUGCUCUCUGUUAUAAAUGUAGGCAGCCCUUACCAAAACUCAGUUUUAAAAUCUUUAUAAACUAAGAUGUUAAAAAUCAGGUUGAAACAAAUUGUGAAUUGAUUAAUAUAAUUGGCUAAGCUAAAUAUUGAUUAAUAGAUAUUUGCAGUUUUUCGUGAAAAGACUGAACCAAGGGAUUAGUUUGGUCUUUCAAAGGGGCAUAUGGUUUAGUUAAUAAUCG
rnacentral:misc_RNA from 1 species